GGCGGCGUGGAUAAGACAUGCAAGUCGAACGGGAGAAUUGCUAGCUUGCUAAUAAUUCUCUAGUGGCGCACGGGUGAGUAACACGUGAGUAACCUGCCUCUUAGUGGGGGAUAGCCCUGGGAAACCGGGAUUAAUACCGCAUACGAUUGAAAGAUCAAAGCAGCAAUGCGCUAGGAGAUGGGCUCGCGGCCUAUUAGUUAGUUGGUGAGGUAACGGCUCACCAAGGCGAUGACGGGUAGCCGGUCUGAGAGGAUGUCCGGCCACACUGGAACUGAGACACGGUCCAGACACCUACGGGUGGCAGCAGUCGAGAAUCAUUCACAAUGGGGGCAACCCUGAUGGUGCGACGCCGCGUGGGGGAAUGAAGGUCUUCGGAUUGUAAACCCCUGUCAUGUGGGAGCAAAUUAAAAAGAUAGUACCACAAGAGGAAGAGACGGCUAACUCUGUGCCAGCAGCCGCGGUAAUACAGAGGUCUCAAGCGUUGUUCGGAAUCACUGGGCGUAAAGCGUGCGUAGGCUGUUUCGUAAGUCGUGUGUGAAAGGCAGGGGCUCAACCCCUGGAUUGCACAUGAUACUGCGAGACUAGAGUAAUGGAGGGGGAACCGGAAUUCUCGGUGUAGCAGUGAAAUGCGUAGAUAUCGAGAGGAACACUCGUGGCGAAGGCGGGUUCCUGGACAUUAACUGACGCUGAGGCACGAAGGCCAGGGGAGCGAAAGGGAUUAGAUACCCCUGUAGUCCUGGCAGUAAACGGUGCACGCUUGGUGUGCGGGGAAUCGACCCCCUGCGUGCCGGAGCUAACGCGUUAAGCGUGCCGCCUGGGGAGUACGGUCGCAAGAUUAAAACUCAAAGAAAUUGACGGGGACCCGCACAAGCGGUGGAGUAUGUGGCUUAAUUCGAUGCAACGCGAAGAACCUUACCUGGGCUUGACAUGUAAUGAACAACAUGUGAAAGCAUGCGACUCUUCGGAGGCGUUACACAGGUGCUGCAUGGCCGUCGUCAGCUCGUGUCGUGAGAUGUUUGGUUAAGUCCAGCAACGAGCGCAACCCCUGUUGCCAGUUACCAGCACGUCAAGGUGGGGACUCUGGCGAGACUGCCCAGAUCAACUGGGAGGAAGGUGGGGACGACGUCAGGUCAGUAUGGCCCUUAUGCCCAGGGCUGCACACGUACUACAAUGCCCAGUACAGAGGGGGCCGAAGCCGCGAGGCGGAGGAAAUCCUGAAAACUGGGCCCAGUUCGGACUGUAGGCUGCAACCCGCCUACACGAAGCCGGAAUCGCUAGUAAUGGCGCAUCAGCUACGGCGCCGUGAAUACGUUCCCGGGUCUUGUACACACCGCCCGUCACAUCAUGGAAGCCGGUCGCACCCGAAGUAUCUGAAGCCAACCGCAAGGAGGCAGGGUCCUAAGGUGAGACUGGUAACUGGGAUGAAGUCGUA
rnacentral:rRNA from 1 species